rnacentral:rRNA from 1 species
CCUACGGGAGGCAGCAGUAGGGAAUCUUCGGCAAUGGACGAAAGUCUGACCGAGCAACGCCGCGUGAGUGAAGAAGGUUUUCGGAUCGUAAAACUCUGUUGGUAGAGAAGAACGUUGGUGAGAGUGGAAAGCUCCUCACGUGACGUUCACUCCCCAGCAAGGGACGGCUAACUACGUGCCAGCAGCCGCGGUAAUACGUAGGUCCCCGGCGUUGUCCGGAUUUAUUGGGCGUAAAGCGAGCGCAGGUGGUUUAUUAAGUCUGGUGUAAAAGGCAGGGGCUCAACCAGUGUAUGCAUUGGAAACUGGUAGACUUGAGUGAAGGAGAGGAGAGUGGAAUUCCAUGUGUAGCGGUGAAAUGCGUAGAUAUAUGGAGGAACACCGGUGGCGAAAGCGGCUCUCUGGACUGUAACUGACACUGAGGCUCGAAAGCGUGGGGAGCAAACAGGAUUAGAUACCCCUGUAGUC